GACGAACGCUGGCGGCGUGCCUAACACAUGCAAGUUGAGCGACGAACCAGGGCUUGCCCUGGGGCGAAGCAGCGAACGGGUGAGUAACACGUGGGUAACCUACCCCGAUAACCGGGACAACCCGAGGAAACUCGGGCUAAUACCGGAUGUGCUCACUGGACUUCGGUUCAGUGCGUAAAGGAAGCUUCGGCCUCCGUAUCGGGAGGGGCCCGCGGCCCAUUAGUUUGUUGGUGAGGUAACGGCUCACCAAGACCGCGAUGGGUAGCUGGUCUGAGAGGACGAUCAGCCACACUGGGACUGAGACACGGCCCAGACUCCUACGGGAGGCAGCAGUGGGGAAUCUUGCGCAAUGCGCGAAAGCGUGACGCAGCAACGCCGCGUGGGGGAAGAAGGCCUUCGGGUUGUAAACCCCUUUCAGGAGGGACGAAGGUUCGGCGGUGAAUAGCCGUCCGGACUGACGGUACCUCCACAAGAAGCCCCGGCUAACUACGUG
rnacentral:rRNA from 1 species